rnacentral:rRNA from 1 species
UACGUAGGGGGCAAGCGUUGUCCGGAAUCAUUGGGCGUAAAGAGCGCGUAGGCGGCCCAGUCAGUCCGCUCUGAAAGUCAGGGGCUCAACCCCUGAAUGCGGGUGGAUACUGCUGGGCUAGAGUCCGGAAGAGGCGAGUGGAAUUCCCGGUGUAGCGGUGAAAUGCGCAGAUAUCGGGAGGAACACCAAUGGCGAAGGCAGCUCGCUGGGACGGUACUGACGCUGAGACGCGAAAGCGUGGGGAGCAAACGGG